rnacentral:rRNA from 1 species
GCAGUAGCCGCGGGAAUACGUAGGUGGCAAGCGUUGUCCGGAAUUAUUGGGCGUAAAGGGCUCGCAGGCGGUUUCUUAAGUCUGAUGUGAAAGCCCCCGGCUCAACCGGGGAGGGUCAUUGGAAACUGGGAAACUUGAGUGCAGAAGAGGAGAGUGGAAUUCCACGUGUAGCGGUGAAAUGCGUAGAGAUGUGGAGGAACACCAGUGGCGAAGGCGACUCUCUGGUCUGUAACUGACGCUGAGGAGCGAAAGCGUGGGGAGCGAACAGGAUUAGAUACCCCCGUAGUCCCUGUCUCUUAUAC